GAUGAACGCUGGCGGCGUGCUUAACACAUGCAAGUCGAACGAGAAAUGGAGACGGAAACCUUCGGGCGGAAGGCUUCAUUUCGAGUGGCGGACGGGUGAGUAACGCGUGGGUAACCUGCCUCAUACAGGGGGAUAACAGUUUGAAACGACUGUUAAUACCGCAUAAGACCACAGCACCGCAUGGUGCGGGGGUAAAAACUCCGGUGGUAUGAGAUGGACCCGCGUUCGAUUAGCCAGUUGGCGGGGUAACGGCCCACCAAAGCGACGAUCGAUAGCCGAUCUGAGAGGAUGACCGGCCACAUUGGGACUGAGACACGGCCCAAACUCCUACGGGAGGCAGCAGUGGGGAAUAUUGCACAAUGGGGGAAACCCUGAUGCAGCGACGCCGCGUGAGUGAAGAAGUACUUCGGUAUGUAAAGCUCUAUCAGCAGGGAAGAAAAUGACGGUACCUGAGUAAGAAGCCCCGGCUAACUACGUG
rnacentral:rRNA from 1 species